CGUCCUAUUAGCUAGUUGGUGAGGUAAUGGCUCACCAAGGCUACGAUGGGUAGGGGUUCUUAGUGGAAGGUCCCCCACACUGGCACUGAGAUACGGGCCAGACUCCUACGGGAGGCAGCAGUAGGGAAUAUUGGUCAAUGGGCGCAAGCCUGAACCAGCCAUGCCGCGUGCAGGAUGAAGGCUCUCUGAGUUGUAAACUGCUUUUGCACAGGAGCAAAAAAAUCCCUGCGGGGGUUCUUGAGAGUACUGUAAGAAUAAGCACCGGCUAAUUCCGUGCCAGCAGCCGCGGUAAUACGGGAGGUGCAAGCGUUAUCCGGUUUUAUUGGGUUUAAAGGGUGCGUAGGCGGCUUAUUAAGUCAGUUGUGAAAUCCUAGUGCUUAACGCUAGAACUGCGAUUGAUACUAUU
rnacentral:rRNA from 1 species